UAUAGGUCAAAUAAUCAACUGCGCUUUCCUUUAUUAUGUAAUGGAAUGUAUUCCAUCCUACCCAAGAUUGGGUUGGUGAUUCAUAUUUGAACUGUUUGAAGUUAUUGUAACUUUCAGGUACUCUUACCAUUAUAGUGCUCUUUUUGUAAGGAACUUGUAUGGCAUUUGCUCCAACCAAUAAAAAUAAAAUAAGAAAAUCUAAUUUGGUUGUUCAUAUCA
rnacentral:lncRNA from 1 species